rnacentral:rRNA from 1 species
UACAGAGGAUGCAAGCGUUAUCCGGAAUGAUUGGGCGUAAAGCGUCUGUAGGUGGCUUUUUAAGUCCGCCGUCAAAUCCCAGGGCUCAACUCUGGACAGGCGGUGGAAACUACCAAGCUGGAGUACGGUAGGGGCAGAGGGAAUUUCCGGUGGAGCGGUGAAAGUGCGUAGAUAUCGGGAGGAACACCAGUGGCGAAGGCGGAGACCUGGGGGAGAUAUUGACGCUGAGGUGCGAAAGCGUGGGGAGCAAACAGG